UCCAAAAUUAUGGUAGAAUUGAGAGAAAUUGGUAAAGAAAAAGUUGAAAGAUUAGCUGUGCUAAUCAGUUCACCAGAUCUUUCAGAAUCCCAACUUUUGGGUAUUUUAAUUGUGAAAGAUGGCACUGCUGAGUCUCUUGGAAAGCAAUCAAAAAAACUUUACAAGACUGGGAGCUAUUUGACUAUGUUGAUUGUCUGUCCUUUGAUACCACAGUCACAAAUACUGGUUGGCUAAAAGGAGUCUGUACUCUUAUUGAGCAGUGGAGAGGAAAAGCUUUGAUUUGGAUGGCUUGACGUCAUCAUGUCUACGAAUUACAUAUAAAGCACUUUUCAAGUGUUCUUACUGGAGGUAAAACAAGUGGACCAAAGACUGAGUUAUUUGAAAGGCUAAAGUGUAAUUGGAAAUCGAUUCUUGAAAAGAAGAUAAAUUAUGAUAACCUAAAGAGAUUUGACUC